CUAAAAGAAGCUGACAGGUCUUUCAACAUUCCCUUCUAUUACCAUGCAUUCCAGAAUGCUCAGGUUAUUUUCAUUCUGAUGAAACUACAUCACACUUGAUCUAAGUUCUCCUUAUAAAAGAAUGAAACCAAACUAACUUUAGGUCCUAGGCUGCUUCUAUUGUUCUCUUGAGAUGUAUUUAAUCACCACGAGAGGUUUAACUUACUUUUAGGUCAACAGUAUGCAACAUGGCAUACAUUGCACAACAUAUGCCAAAACUACAAUUUUUUUUUUCAGGCCAACUUUCCCGUAAACGGAGGAUUACUCUGCUAUAGUGUUCACACAUCAGGGCAAGUUUAAGUUUCAAAGAAGUGGCUUCUGAGGCAUCUUCAUAUAAGUUCUGCUGGAUGGCACAGAUGGUGUUUGCCUGGGAGAAUGCAAAGCUGUAUUCAACUCCCUCCCAAUUCACUUCUUUGGCAAGUUGCUCUUGGGCAAUGGACAGACGCAUAACCUUAUGUAGCAAUCCAAACAUGAAGGUCACAUUAGCUUCCUGAAAAGUUUGACAAUUUCUCUCUUUAUAGUCUUAAAGA